rnacentral:rRNA from 1 species
CAGCCGCCGCGGGAAUACGUAGGGUGCAAGCGUUAAUCGGAAUUACUGGGCGUAAAGCGUGCGCAGGCGGUUUGUUAAGACAGAUGUGAAAUCCCCGGGCUCAACCUGGGAACUGCAUUUGUGACUGGCAAGCUAGAGUGUGGCAGAGGGGGGUGGAAUUCCGCGUGUAGCAGUGAAAUGCGUAGAUAUGCGGAGGAACACCGAUGGCGAAGGCAGCCCCCUGGGCCAACACUGACGCUCAUGCACGAAAGCGUGGGGAGCAAACAGGAUUAGAGACCCCAGUAGCCUGUCUCUUAUACAC